GAUGAACGCUGGCGGCGUGCCUAAUACAUGCAAGUCGAGCGAACAGACGAGGAGCUUGCUCCUCUGACGUUAGCGGCGGACGGGUGAGUAACACGUGGAUAACCUACCUAUAAGACUGGGAUAACUUCGGGAAACCGGAGCUAAUACCGGAUAAUAUAUUGAACCGCAUGGUUCAAUAGUGAAAGACGGUUUUGCUGUCACUUCUAGAUGGAUCCGCGCCGCAUUAGCUAGUUGGUAAGGUAACGGCUUACCAAGGCAACGAUGCGUAGCCGACCUGAGAGGGUGAUCGGCCACAGUGGAACUGAGACACGGUCCAGACUCCUACGGGAGGCAGCAGUAGGGAAUCUUCCGCAAUGGGCGAAAGCCUGACGGAGCAACGCCGCGUGAGUGAUGAAGGUCUUCGGAUCGUAAAACUCUGUUAUUAGGGAAGAACAAAUGUGUAAGGAACUAUGCACGUCUUGACGGUACCUAAUCAGAAAGCCACGGCUAACUACGUG
rnacentral:rRNA from 1 species